UACUCGUACGGGAGGCAGCAGUGGGGAAUUUUGGACAAUGGGGGCAACCCUGAUCCAGCAAUGCCGCGUGAGUGAAGAAGGCCUUCGGGUUGUAAAGCUCUUUUGUCAGGGAAGAAACGGUGAGGGCUAAUAUCCUUUGCUAAUGACGGUACCUGAAGAAUAAGCACCGGCUAACUACGUGCCAGCAGCCGCGGUAAUACGUAGGGUGCAAGCGUUAAUCGGAAUUACUGGGCGUAAAGCGUGCGCAGGCGGUUAUGUAAGUCAGAUGUGAAAUCCCCGGGCUCAACCUGGGAAUGGCAUUUGAGACUGCAUGGCUAGAGUGUGUCAGAGGGGGGUAGAAUUCCACGUGUAGCAGUGAAAUGCGUAGAGAUGUGGAGGAAUACCGAUGGCGAAAGCAGCCCCCUGGGAUAACACUGACGCUCAUGCACGAAAGCGUGGGGAGCAAACAGGAUUAGAUACCCUGGUAGUCCACGCCCUAAACGAUGUCUACUAGUUGUCGGGACUUAAUUGUCUUGGUAACGCAGCUAACGCGUGAAGUAGACCGCCUGGGGAGUACGGUCGCAAGAUUAAAACUCAAAGGAAUUGACGGGGACCCCCACAAGCGGUGGAGCAUGUGGA
rnacentral:rRNA from 1 species